rnacentral:rRNA from 1 species
AUGCGAGUCCUUAGAGCGCAAGAGUUCAGAGCAAAAUUCCGAACUUGCCAAGGCACUCCAAAGUGCACAAGAAGCCCAGGCCGAAGCCCAAAGCGCUGUUCGGGAGAUCCAAGAGGCAAGGCAAAUUGCGGCGGGUAA